rnacentral:rRNA from 1 species
GAUGAACGCUGGCGGCGUGCCUAAUACAUGCAAGUCGAGCGAACAGACGAGGAGCUUGCUCCUCUGACGUUAGCGGCGGACGGGUGAGUAACACGUGGAUAACCUACCUAUAAGACUGGGAUAACUUCGGGAGACCGGAGCUAAUACCGGAUAAUAUAUUGAACCGCAUGGUUCAAUAGUGAAAGGCGGGUUUGCUGUCACUUAUAGAUGGAUCCGCGCCGCAUUAGCUAGUUGGUAAGGUCACGGCUUACCAAGGCAACGCUGCGUAGCCGACCUGAGAGGGGGAGCGGGUACACCGGACCUGAGCCACGGCCCAGACCACUAUGGGAGGCAGCAGUAGGGAAUCUUCCGCAAUGGGCGAAAGCCUGACGGAGCACCGCCGCGUGAGUGAUGAAGGUCUUCGGAUCUUAAAACUAUGCUAUUAGUGAAGAACAAUUGUGUAAGUAACUAGGCACGUCUUGACGGUACCUAAUCAGAAAGCCACGGCUAAUUACGUG